AUGAUGAAAAUGAGGAACCUGAUUGCUUUGGCCUCAUCCCCAUCUCCCCUUUGUCCCGCAGGGCUCCGGGCGGCCGUGACCCUGCUGGAGUGCGGGGGGGACCUCCAGCCCCCCGGGGGGUCCCUGCGCCUCCUCUGCCGAGGGGCCGGGUUCAGUUUUGGGAGUUAUGGAAUGUUCUGGAUCCGCCAGAGACCCGGGCAGACACUGGAAUACAUCGCCAGUAUCAGCAGCAGUGGUGGCAGCACCAGAUACGCGCCAUCGGUGCAGGGCCGGGUCACGAUCUCCAGGGACAACGGGCAGAGCUCGGUGACGCUGACCAUGAACAGCCUCAAGGACGAGGAUUCCGGAUCCUAUUUCUGCGCCAAAUGUUAUGCUAGUGGUUGUAGUGAUGCUUAUUUUGGUUAUGGUAUUGAUGAUGGUUCUCCCGGGCCCUGA